rnacentral:rRNA from 1 species
GGAGGGGGCAAGCGUUAUUCGGAUUUACUGGGCGUAAAGCGCACGUAGGUGGCAUGGUAAGUCAAAGGUGAAAGCCCUCGGCUCAACCGAGGAAUUGCCUUUGAAACUGCCUUGCUUGAGUCCGGGAGGGGGGGCGGAAUUCCCAGUGUAGCGGUGAAAUGCGUAGAUACUGGGAGGAACACCGGUGGCGAAGGCGGCUCCCUGGACCGGUACUGACACUGAGGUGCGAAAGCGUGGGUAGCAAACAGGAUUAGAUACCCUGGGUAGUCCACGCCGUAAACGAUGGGCACUAGGUGCAGCGGGUGUCGACCCCCCUGCUGUGCCGUAGUUAACGCAUUAAGUGCCCCGCCUGGGGAGUACGGUCGCAAGGCUG